rnacentral:rRNA from 1 species
UACGUAGGGGGCUAGCGUUGUCCGGAAUCAUUGGGCGGAAAGCGCGUGUAGGCGGUUGUUCAAGUCAGGUGUGAAAGCCUUGAGCUCAACUCAAGAAAUGCACUUGAUACUGGAUGACUAGAGGACCGGAGAGGAUAGUGGAAUUCCCAGUGUAGUGGUGAAAUACGUAGAGAUUGGGAAGAACACCAGUGGCGAAGGCGGCUAUCUGGACGGUUUCUGACGCUAAGACGCGAAAGCGUGGGGAGCAAACAGG